rnacentral:rRNA from 1 species
GGCGAACGCUGGCGGCGUGCAUAACACAUGCAAGUCGAACGAUGAAGAAGAGAAGUGGAGACUUCGGUCAAAGUUCGCUUCGGAUUGGUGGCAGACGGGUGAGUAACGCGUGAGCAACCUACCUCUUACAAAGGGAUAGCCAUGGGAAACCGUGAUUAAUACCAUAUGAUACAAUAACAAGGCAUCUUGAGGUUGUUUAAAGCUCCGGCGGUAAGAGAUGGGCUCGCGUCUCAUUAGCUAGUUGGUGAGGGUAACUGCCCACCAAGGCGACGAUCAGUAGCCGACCUGAGAGGGUGAUCGGCCACAUUGGAACUGAGACACGGUCCAA